rnacentral:rRNA from 1 species
UACGUAGGGUGCAAGCGUUAUCCGGAAUCACUGGGCGUAAAGCGUGCGUAGGUGGAUGUUUAAGUGUGAUGUUAAAUCGUGGGGCUCAACCCUGUCGUUGCAUCGCAUACUGGGCAUCUAGAGGACGGCAGAGGCAAGUGGAAUUGGUAGUGUAGCAGUGAAAUGCGUAGAUAUUACCAGGAACACCAAUGGCGAAGGCAGCUUGCUGGGCCACUCCUGACACUGAGGUACGAAAGCGUGGGGAGCGAACAGG